UCCCGCUUAGCUCAGUGGUAGAGCGCAUCACUUGUAAUGCCACAUGGCCAGAAUACAUGAUGAGGUCGCUCGUUCGAUCCGGGUAGUGGGAA
rnacentral:tRNA from 1 species